rnacentral:lncRNA from 1 species
UGAGGAUGUCUAGACCUGUGUCAUCCUGAGUUCAGUGACUGGCAGUAUUAAAUUAAACCAAAUUGAAAAGCCUCCCAGAAAUGAAUGGGGGAAUACUUCAAAGGGGCUUCUAAUUUUAUGGGUAACAGGACAUUAUGGUGCCAUAAAACAAUAAAUGUGAAAAAUCCAAGAAAAUCCAGAAGAUCUGGAAGCAAAAGUAAGACCAGUGAGAUCAGAACAAAAUAGUAACUGACUUGCAACUGGAGAAAACAGAAAAUUAAACAGAAGGUAACAAAACUUCUGCCAAAUUUAAAGGAAGCACAAAUACAAUCUAUUUAUGUGUGUUCUUCAACAACAUUUGUUGAUUUUACUUGGCAAAAAUGUAUAGGAGAGAGAUGGCACAGCACUGUGGAUAGAGAACAACUUUGAAGUCACCGACAACUGCCUCUCUUUUAUAGUGGCUCUGAGACCUUGGAUAAGUCCCUUAAUUUCUCAAUGUUCUGGAAAACUAAGACUUUUGAGUUUCUGUUGAGUUUCUGCUCUGCAUUGGUAGAGGGAGUUUCCAAAAUGGGAGGUCCUUACAUAGAUGAAAUCAUAGGUCCAAACCCUUUCUAAUCCCUCCAAAAAAAAUUUAUGCUUAAAAAUUUAAAUAGCUUACCACCACAAACAUCAAAAACCCCUCCAUGCUUCAUGUUUUCAAGGGUGAGAUGUGACCAAAGGAAAGUCAGGAAUUAUAUGAGCUAAAUUACAAAAAAACUUUCCACACAAAUAAAGUCAGACUUAAACAAUUGGAAAAAUAUCAAGUGCUCCUGGAUAG